rnacentral:piRNA from 1 species
UCCAGUCUUUGAAGGAGCCGAGGGU